rnacentral:rRNA from 1 species
UGGGGAAUUUUGGACAAUGGGCGAAAGCCUGAUCCAGCAAUGCCGCGUGUGUGAAGAAGGCCUUCGGGUUGUAAAGCACUUUUGUCCGGAAAGAAACCCUUGGCUCUAAUACAGUCGGGGGAUGACGGUACCGGAAGAAUAAGCACCGGCUAACUACGUGCCAGCAGCCGCGGUAAUACGUAGGGUGCAAGCGUUAAUCGGAAUUACUGGGCGUAAAGCGUGCGCAGGCGGUUUGCUAAGACCGAUGUGAAAUCCCCGGGCUCAACCUGGGAACUGCAUUGGUGACUGGCAGGCUAGAGUAUGGCAGAGGGGGGUAGAAUUCCACGUGUAGCAGUGAAAUGCGUAGAGAUGUGGAGGAAUACCGAUGGCGAAGGCAGCCCCCUGGGCCAAUACUGACGCUCAUGCACGAAAGCGUGGGGAGCAAACAGGAUUAGAUACCCUGGUAGUCCACGCCCUAAAACGAUGUCAACUAGUUGUUGGGGAUUCAUUUCCUAGUAACGUAGCUAACGCGUGAAGUUGACCGCCUGGGGAGUACGGUCGCAAGAUUAAAACUCAAAGGAAUUGACGGGGU